CAGUCGACGGUAACAGAAAGCAGCUUGCUGCUUUGCUGACGAGUGGCGGACGGGUGAGUAAUGUCUGGGAAACUGCCUGAUGGAGGGGGAUAACUACUGGAAACGGUAGCUAAUACCGCAUAACGUCGCAAGACCAAAGAGGGGGACCUUCGGGCCUCUUGCCAUCGGAUGUGCCCAGAUGGGAUUAGCUUGUUGGUGGGGUAACGGCUCACCAAGGCGACGAUCCCUAGCUGGUCUGAGAGGAUGACCAGCCACACUGGAACUGAGACACGGUCCAGACUCCUACGGGAGGCAGCAGUGGGGAAUAUUGCACAAUGGGCGCAAGCCUGAUGCAGCCAUGCCGCGUGUAUGAAGAAGGCCUUCGGGUUGUAAAGUACUUUCAGCGGGGAGGAAGGGAGUAAAGUUAAUACCUUUGCUCAUUGACGUUACCCGCAGAAGAAGCACCGGCUAACUCCGUGCCAGCAGCCGCGGUAAUACGGAGGGUGCAAGCGUUAAUCGGAAUUACUGGGCGUAAAGCGCACGCAGGCGGUUUGUUAAGUCAGAUGUGAAAUCCCCGGGCUCAACCUGGGAACUGCAUCUGAUACUGGCAAGCUUGAGUCUCGUAGAGGGGGGUAGAAUUCCAGGUGUAGCGGUGAAAUGCGUAGAGAUCUGGAGGAAUACCGGUGGCGAAGGCGGCCCCCUGGACGAAGACUGACGCUCAGGUGCGAAAGCGU
rnacentral:rRNA from 1 species